rnacentral:rRNA from 1 species
GACGAACGCUGGCGGCGUGCUUAACACAUGCAAGUCGAACGCUGAAGCACCAGCUUUCUGGUGUGGAUGAGUGGCGAACGGGUGAGUAAUACGUGAGUAACCUGCCCUUGACUCUGGGAUAAGCCCGGGAAACUGGGUCUAAUACUGGAUGCUACAUGUCACCGCAUGGUGGUGUGUGGAAAGGGUUUACUUGUCUUGGAUGGGCUCACGGCCUAUCAGCUUGUUGGGGAGGUAAUGGCUCACCAGGGCGACGACGGGAAGCCGGCCUGGGAGGGUGACCGGCCACACUGGGACUGAGACACGGCCCAGACUCCGACGGGAGGCAGAAGUGGGGAAUAUUGCCCAAGGGGCGAAAGCCUGAUGCAGCGACGCCGCGUGAGGGAUGACGGCCUUAGGGUUGUAAACCUCUUUCAGCAGGGAAGAAGCAACAAGUGACGGUACCUGCAGAAGAAGCGACGGCUAACUACGUG